rnacentral:rRNA from 1 species
UACGAAGGGGCUAGCGUUGCUCGGAAUCACUGGGCGUAAAGGGUGCGUAGGCGGGUCUUUAAGUCAGGGGUGAAAUCCUGGAGCUCAACUCCAGAACUGCCUUUGAUACUGAAGAUCUUGAGUUCGGGAGAGGUGAGUGGAACUGCGAGUGUAGAGGUGAAAUUCGUAGAUAUUCGGAAGAACACCAGUGGCGAAGGCGGCUCACUGGUCCGGUACUGGACGCUGAGGUGCGAAAGCGUGGGGAG